rnacentral:rRNA from 1 species
CCCUUAGACGUUCUGGGCCGCACGCGCGCUACACUGACCAGUGCAACAAGCAUCCGUCCUUGGCCGACAGGCCCGGGCAAUCUUUGAACGCUGGUCGUGAUGGGGAUAGACUUUUGCAAUUUUUGGUCUUCAACGAGGAAUUCCUAGUAAACGCAAGUCAUCAACUUGCAUUGAUUACGUCCCUGCCCUUUGUACACACCGCCCGUCGCACCUACCGAUUGAAAGGUCCGGUGAAGCCUCCGGAUUGGCGCGCACCUCGGUGCCGCCGAGAAGUUGGCUAAACCUUACCAUUUAGAGGAAGGUGAAGUCGUAACA